GGCGGUUCGCCGCCUGUGACGUGGCGAGAAGUCCACUGAACCUUAUCAUUUAGAGGAAGGAGAAGUCGUAACAAGGUUUCCGUAGGUGAACCUGCGGAAGGAUCAUUGUUGUUACCUAGAACACGACCGUGAACAUGUAACAUAAUGCUACCGGGGAGUACCAUCUCCUCGGCCCUGCCGGCCCCGGCCUGUUGGUCGGGUGUCGGAAUACGGCGCGGGAUGUCGCCAAGGAACACUGAAUUGCUGAGGCAGACGACAAUACGCUCGUACUGCUGAUGCCAACUUAACAUUAUGACUCUCGGCAACGGAUAUCUCGGCUCUCGCAUCGAUGAAGAACGUAGCGAAAUGCGAUACGUGGUGUGAAUUGCAGAAUCCCGUGAACCAUCGAGUUUUUGAACGCAAGUUGCGCCCGAGGGAUCCUCCCGAGGGCACGCCUGCCUGGGCGUUAGAAGCCCAUCAACACUCAGUCGACCCUGCACACACCGUGUGACAGAGGACCGACCUGAUGUGGACAAUGGACCUCCGAGCCAGAAAUGGCACGGUGGGCUGAAGUUAAUGGCCGUCGGAUGGUAACGGGAUCGGCGAGUGGUGGGCUAACUGCGCAAGCCAAUCCCGGCUACCGUGUCGACAUGUUGCCUCUUUUGAACCCCAAAUGAGGAGAUUGCCGUCGCAGCAUCUAGUUGUGCGGAAAUUUCGGACCGAUACCCCAGGUCAGGCGGGGCCACCCGCUGAGUUUAAGCAUAUAAAUAAG
rnacentral:rRNA from 1 species